rnacentral:rRNA from 1 species
UACGUAGGGUCCGAGCGUUGUCCGGAUUUAUUGGGCGUAAAGGGCUCGUAGGCGGUUUGUCGCGUCGGGAGUGAAAACACUGGGCUUAACUCAGUGCUUGCUUCCGAUACGGGCAGACUAGAGGUAUGCAGGGGAGAACGGAAUUCCUGGUGUAGCGGUGAAAUGCGCAGAUAUCAGGAGGAACACCGGUGGCGAAGGCGGUUCUCUGGGCAUUACCUGACGCUGAGGAGCGAAAGUGUGGGGAGCGAACAGG